rnacentral:lncRNA from 7 species
CACUCCAACCUCACAGCGCGGUGGCGGUUGUGCAGGAACCGGGUGCCGGAGGCUGGCAGGCAGGGAAAGGAAGGGGAAAGCGGUCUGCAGCGUCGCGGAGCGGAGCAUGGGGCGAAGCAGUUGCCCACCGCCCCGUUCCUAGGGAGGCCGGGGACCCUGUGGAGGGCAGCGGGGAAGAGAGGAAGGGCCGUGGAGCCGCUGAGGAGGUGCGAGAGAUGGAUGCGAGGCGAUAGCACCGCGGCCUCCGACGCUGCCGCAUCGGGAUGCUCUCAGCCCCGGAGCGGAGCUGAGGAGCCGCCGAGGGACGGGAGAAGAUGACGGAGGGCCGCAGAUGCCAAGUGCACCUCCUCGAUGACAGGAAGCUGGAGCUCCUCGUCCAGGGGUCACCAACAGGUUAACAGCAAGAAUGAGAAGAAUGCCUUUCCUUUUUGCAAAUGCUGCUGGGCAGCCCCAGAAGCAGGAAAUGAAACUUCCCAUGGCUGCAGAACCACGAUGCAGCUGAUAGCUGGGGGAGCAGGAUCCCGCUUGGGGAAGUCUGAACAGGGAUAGCUGGAGGUGCCAUGAAUCGCCGGAAGCGUGUUCAGCCCCACUGCUGGAAAGUUGCUUAAAAAUAUCAUUAACAAAAUGCUU